rnacentral:rRNA from 1 species
AUUGAACGCUGGCGGCAUGCCUUACACAUGCAAGUCGAACGGCAGCAUGAUCUAGCUUGCUAGAUUGAUGGCGAGUGGCGCACGGGUGAGUAAUACAUCGGAACGUGCCCUGUAGUGGGGGAUAACUAGUCGAAAGAUUAGCUAAUACCGCAUACGACCUGAGGGUGAAAGUGGGGGACCGCAAGGCCUCUUGCUCUAGGAGCGGCCGAUGUCUGAUUAGCUAGUUGGUGGGGUAAAGGCCCACCAAGGCGACGAUCAGUAGCUGGUCUGAGAGGACGAUCAGCCACACUGGGACUGAGACACGGCCCAGACUCCUACGGGAGGCAGCAGUGGGGAAUUUUGGACAAUGGGGGCAACCCUGAUCCAGCAAUGCCGCGUGUGUGAAGAAGGCCUUCGGGUUGUAAAGCACUUUUGUCCGGAAAGAAAUCGCACUUACUAAUAUUAGGUGUGGAUGACGGUACCGGAAGAAUAAGGACCGGCUAACUACGUG